rnacentral:tRNA from 1 species
UACUAAAGAUUUUGAGUCUUUGUGUGCAGGUUCAAGUCCUGUUUUUCUAA